rnacentral:lncRNA from 1 species
CCAAACUUGAUUUUGUCACCCUCUGGAUUAGAAUCCUUCUGUGACUCCGCUGCCCAUGAAGUCCAAAUGACUUCCUAUGGGGUGAAAGGUCCAGUGGGGACUGUUCGAGGGUUCCCUCUAGGAGUAUUUCCUGUCAUGAUGAACUGUGUGCAGCUCUGCAGACACUCCCAGCACCUCUUCGACUUUGCUCCUGCUUCACCAGUGAUGUCCUCCCUGGGGUCAGUUUACCCUGCGUGGGAGGUGAAUUCCCUGGGGGAAACUUAGGCUCCCUUCUGCUGCUCUUGUGCAGUGCACGGGGCUGUCCUCAUUUUCUCCGUUCCCCAUUGCUUCUUUAAUGUCUCAGUGCACUUCCUUCAUUCCAUUGCCAAAAUGCAAGCCCCUUGAGGGCAGGGACCAUGCUUGACUCGUUUUUGUAUGCCUAAUGCCUAGCACAGAGUUGAACACAUUACUGCCAAUUCAUUUUUUUCAAUGACAAUUCCAUAAACAUCAUUAGGCAUUAGGUGUUCAGCUCUGCAUAUAAGGUCUUCAUCAGCAAGACGGUUACAAGUAUAAACCAUUUCCUAUUUCAGAAUAUUUUAAUAUUCAACAUAUUUGUAUACCCACAUUCUCUUGUUACAAUUAUUGCCAGAAAGCCAAUUGAUAAGCUUUCAAAAUGGGCUUAUCACACCCCUCCAAAAAUAGAUUUUUGUUUUUUCUAUAAACAGAAAUUUCAGAAAUGAGAUUUGAGAGAUCCGACUGAGAAGACCCUUCAGUAAAAUGUGACAUGACUUACCUUAUGCUGUAAUCUGUAUUCCCUCAGGAUUUAAGAGCUUCCUAGCAUAAAAUCUUUGCUAAACGUUUGUGUACAUGUUAUUGGUGCUCCGAAAAAUAGUCAAUGGAAUGGUGCACUACAAUUGGGCUUUAUCAUCUUAUUUUGAACCUCGUGUAGAUUACAGUAAAGCAAACCAUUCAGUGUGUUCCAGGAAAUUAUAUUAGAUCUGUGUUUCUAUCAGCUCACUGGAAUAAUCUGAUAAUUGUUACUUUUACUUGGUAUGGCUGCAAGAAUAGUGGAAAGAAGAGGACUUGAGAGUUGGUCGAACCCAGGUUUGAAAUCUGGCUUAGUCAUUUUUCAGCUGUUAUCCUGGGUGAGUUUUGCCAACUUUCUUAGCUUCAUUUCCCUCAUUAAUACGGUGGGACAUAACAGCUACUCUUGCAUUGAAAAUUAAGUUAGAUUACCUGUCUAGCAUACCCAUCAUCAUACACUUACUAUGGUCACAUUUUGUAUUUAAAAUAAACUAAUACGAAAAAUAUUUCUUUUUUUUUACACAGAAUUAUGAUUCUCACAGGGUAUAUAAAUUACUGAUUAGAAUUAUUUAUAUGUGGCCAAUUCUUAAUGUCAUUGGGAAUGCUGUUUCAUUUCAAUCCUCAAAGUUACUGUAGCACAGAAAAUAUCACAAUUUCCUGCAGGGACAUUAUCAGUAAGUUCUGCAGGGAACAAACAAUUGACAUUAAAAAUCAGUACUCUGCAAUUGUCACUGUUAUCAUCUGCUAGAAACUCUGCAUAAUGCAUUUUAAACCACCAAGGCUGGCUGCCACAUCCAUGUGAAAUGCUUGAAUUUUAUGGUGCUUAAAUAUUUAAUGAUUCAUGGGAAAAAUGUGAAAUGUGUCUAAUAAAUUGCAUCCCUUUCUCUAACCUCUGGUUGUAAAGUUAAAGACUUUCAGCAUGUAACUUUUGCAAGAUGCCUGGUCUGCCAUUGGCACUUAAAUAUUUGUUGUAUUACGAUUUAUAAUAUGGUUCAUUAUAUAUAAAAUUCUGUGAUGACUUCCAAAAA